UAGAAAUGACAAACCUAGAACCCCAGAGCC
rnacentral:piRNA from 1 species